ensembl:lncRNA
CGUCACUCUGUCUGUGACGCUGGGUUUAAGAAACAAGAGCUCAGUUAAAAACAUGUUUAUCGCCAUCUUCUGUUAGUACGGAGCAUGUGGUUGGCUAACAGACUCAUAUUAGUUUAUGUUAGCUAACUAGUGACAGAACCAAUAGCUCAGAGGAAACUAAACAUCAGAGUACGAGGAUCACUGUAGUGCUGCAGCAGUGAGGCGUUAAACCAGGAUAUACUGUACACUUUACCUUCUGUGGCAGGAAGUGUCUGUUCGCUGUUUGGCUAGCUACAUGGUUAUGGUUGGGUGUUAGCCUAAUUAGUUGUGAUGUUUGCGUUUGUAAAGCACUUUAUGAGGACUGUGGAGCAGAGCGCGGAUUUAUCACUAAUCAGUAAAAUCGUUUCUAAAUCAAGUACUGAUUAAUCAGUGCAGUACGAUCAGUCAGCAUUUCACACUCUAACCAGCAGGGGCACUGCAGCAACACCUGAAGCGGGCCAAUGAGAGGCGCAGCCGGAAGUUAAAAGGCAGAUGGUUUAUGUGAUUUUUACUGAUUAUUUGUGAUUUGGAUGAUUUUCAGGUAAAGGAACGGAGUUUUGGUGGAGUGUGUUUUUUUUCCCCCCCAUCUCACUUGAUUGCUUCGCCAAACUCUAUUCAGAAAAGAUCAGAUUUCAGUUAAACGUGAUCAACUGAGCUCUGUGAUCUAAGAUAGCUUUUAUAGUUUUGGAUGAAGCAGCAGGAUUCCUACUUUAAUUCAGCUCACUCUGAAACCGACAUGGAGAAAGGUUUCUUAGUACAAAGCGCUGAUGAAGAUGUGAUGAUGCUAAUGUUUUGAUCCACUUUGAACGAGCAGAAUUUGACGUUUCUAUGAGCAGGUUUGGCAGGUCAGAGUUCAGCGUGACUUAUUGUCCCUCACGGAAGCAAAGAUGAGGAGCCCGGCCACGGUCAGGGCCGCUGCAGUUAUCAAAAGCCACCACCGCAUGACGACGGGACACACCCUCCUGUCGCGAAUAGUUCCCCCCGGCCAGGAAAGCUGACCCCUCCACCGGGCGAGAUCACAACAAGUGGGCACGCCUGCUGUCAGCUGUGUUUAGAUGGCUUCAC